UCAAAAAAAAAAAAAAGAAAUAAGAAAUAAAGUCUGUGUUCCCACCCCUUGAAUCUGGGCUGGUCUUUUAACUUUGAUGAACAAAACAUGGUGAAAAUGAUGUCAUACCAAUUCUAGGCCUAGCCCCUAAGAAGCCAUACACCUUUACUUUUAUCCUCUAGAAAGCUGGCCAACAAAUAAGUAAGUUUAGGGUAGAUUACUAAAGAAUGAAAAACAUUUCAGCCAACCAUCCCAACCAUUUCAGCCACACAGCUGAACUACCAGACAUGUGAAUGAAGCUAGUUUGGAAGUUCCAGCCCUGGCUAAGCAUCCAGCUGAAUGCAGCCACCUGAGUGACCCCAGCCAAUAAUAUCCAGAGCAGGAGAAUCAUCCAGUUCUCAGUGUCUCCUCUAGAAUGCAGUUUCAAUCUUCCAACCACAGCUUGGGAGGCUGUUCCAGCCUUGCUGACUUUUAGUAAGAAGAAAACAGUUUCCAGUGAAGACAGGGUCUCCUUCUGUUGCCCAGGCUGGAGUGCAGUGGC
rnacentral:lncRNA from 1 species